rnacentral:rRNA from 1 species
GGUGUGUUGUGCACACCGAAUUGUAGUCUGGAGAAGGGUCCUUUGCAGCAGACCGGGCCAAAGUCCCUUGGAAUGGGAUGCCAGAGAGGGUGAGAGCCCCGUCUGGCCCGGACCCUGUUGCCUAACGAGGCUCUUUCGGCGAGUCGGGUUGCUUGGGAAUGCAGCCUCAAGAGGGUGGUAAAUCCCAUCCAAGGCUAAAUACAGGCAAGAGACCGAUAGUGCACAAGUACCGCGAGGGAAAGAUGAAAAGGACUUUGAAAAGAGAGUCAAAGAGUGCUUGAAAUUGUUGGGAGGGAAGCGAAUGGAUACUCUGUAGGCCCCCUGGUUGUGUGUGGAACGGCGUAAGCUGGUCUGCCAAUCAAUGCAGGGGGCUGGCCAGCAUGGGGGGCUGCAGCGGGAUAAUGGCAGGUGGGCCUCAUCAGUCUCUUGCCCAUGUCGCUACAACCCCUCAGGAACUCGGGGCGCGCUUGCGUGUCCCUUGAUGCUGGUUUGUUGGGUGUUCCAUUCGGCCCGUCUUGAAACACGGACCAAGGAGUCUAACAUGUAUGCAAGUCUGCGGGUGGAAAACCCAUGCAGGCGCAAGGAAACUAAUUCGCGGGAUCCUCCUCAUCCGGGGUGCACCGUGGACCGACCUUGAUCUUUUUGAGAAGGGUUCGAGUGCAAGCAUACCUGUUGGGACCCGAAAGAUGGUGAACUAUGCCUGAGCAGGGCGAAGCCAGAGGAAAACUCUGGUGGAGGCUCGUAAC